UAGGGAAUCUUCGGCAAUGGACGGAAGUCUGACCGAGCAACGCCGCGUGAGUGAAGAAGGUUUUCGGAUCGUAAAGCUCUGUUGUAAGAGAAGAACGAGUGUGAGAGUGGAAAGUUCACACUGUGACGGUAUCUUACCAGAAAGGGACGGCUAACUACGUGCCAGCAGCCGCGGUAAUACGUAGGUCCCGAGCGUUGUCCGGAUUUAUUGGGCGUAAAGCGAGCGCAGGCGGUUAGAUAAGUCUGAAGUUAAAGGCUGUGGCUUAACCUUAGUAGGCUUUGGAAACUGUUUAACUUGAGUGCAAGAGGGGAGAGUGGAAUUCCAUGUGUAGCGGUGAAAUGCGUAGAUAUAUGGAGGAACACCGGUGGCGAAAGCGGCUCUCUGGCUUGUAACUGACGCUGAGGCUCGAAAGCGUGGGGAGCAAACAGGAUUAGAUACCCUGGUAGUCCACGCUGUAAACGAUGAGUGCUAGGUGUUAGACCCUUUCCGGGGUUUAGUGCCGUAGCUAACGCAUUAAGCACUCCGCCUGGGGAGUACGACCGCAAGGUUG
rnacentral:rRNA from 1 species